rnacentral:lncRNA from 1 species
GUUCUUUAGCACAUAGCCUCACGCAUAUAUUUCCCUUUCUGACUUAAGCAUCGGAGGGGCGACGAGAACACGCCUCGUUGCCUUUGUUUCAGGUAUCGGAAGAUCACGUUCGUGCUCCUCACCAGUCAUCAAGCUCGGAAAAUUUACAGGUACGAUUUUUGGUAGCAUCAUGGUCCAAUAAAUUUUUGACGGGAAAAUUAACGAUUCUUGUUAUAUGUCACCAGGUUAACAGCUAUUCCUAGGGUUGUCAACCUCUCGCAAACCUCGACUCCUGAUCACAAAUGGAUAACAAGCCAAAUAUUAGAAACGGGAUUAAAUAAAUAGACCCUGGAUGCACAGUGCAUGUUUGGUAUAUGCAGUACUCGACCUAAAAUCAUGGUGGCACAACCCCAGCCGCCAGAGGAGGAUUUUAGGGCGGGGCGGCCUUUGUAGUCCCAGGCAUCCGGGAGAGUUUCAGCAGCUUCUUGUUCGGUUUCCGGGAGUGCCAUUCAAAUGCAGAAAGGUUUUGGAUUAUGAAAUUUGUAUUUUAGCAGAGGAAAUUCAACGGAGAAGGGGUGGGGGGUGUUUAACUCUAGCUGUGCCUUGGAAUUCCAAUAAUUUUAUAGGAUCA